rnacentral:tRNA from 1 species
GCCUGAGUGGCUCAGUUGUUAAGCAUCUGACUUCGGCUCAGGUCAUGAUCUCAGUUCGUGAGUUCGAGUCCCACAUCGGGUG